CCAGACUCCUACGGGAGGCAGCAGUAGGGAAUCUUCGGCAAUGGACGAAAGUCUGACCGAGCAACGCCGCGUGAGUGAAGAAGGUUUUCGGAUCGUAAAACUCUGUUGGUAGAGAAGAACGUUGGUGAGAGUGGAAAGCUCAUCAAGUGACGGUAACUACCCAGAAAGGGACGGCUAACUACGUGCCAGCAGCCGCGGUAAUACGUAGGUCCCGAGCGUUGUCCGGAUUUAUUGGGCGUAAAGCGAGCGCAGGUGGUUUAUUAAGUCUGGUGUAAAAGGCAGUGGCUCAACCAUUGUAUGCAUUGGAAACUGGUAGACUUGAGUGCAGGAGAGGAGAGUGGAAUUCCAUGUGUAGCGGUGAAAUGCGUAGAUAUAUGGAGGAACACCGGUGGCGAAAGCGGCUCUCUGGCCUGUAACUGACACUGAGGCUCGAAAGCGUGGGGAGCAAACAGGAUUAGAUACCCUGGUAGUCCACGCCGUAAACGAUGAGUGCUAGAUGUAGGGAGCUAUAAGUUCUCUGUAUCGCAGCUAACGCAAUAAGCACUCCGCCUGGGGAGUACGACCGCAAGGUUGAAACUCAAAGGAAUUGACGGGGGCCCGCACAAG
rnacentral:rRNA from 1 species